GACGAACCGUGCGAACGUUGUUCGGAAUCACUGGGCUUAAAGGGCGCGUAGGCGGGUGCUCAAGUCCGUGGUGAAAUCCUCCGGCUCAACCGGAGAACUGCCUCGGAUACUGGGCGUCUCGAGUGUGGUAGGGGUAUGCGGAACUAUCGGUGGAGCGGUGAAAUGCGUUGAUAUCGAUAGGAACCCCGGUGGCGAAGGCGGCAUACUGGACCACCACUGACGCUGAUGCGCGAAAGCCAGGGGAGCAAACGGG
rnacentral:rRNA from 1 species